CCUACGGGUGGCAGCAGUGGGGAAUAUUGGGCAAUGGAGGAAACUCUGACCCAGCAAUGCCGCGUGAAUGAAGAAGGUCUUCGGAUUGUAAAGUUCUUUAGUCAGGGAAGAAGUCAAUGACGGUACCUGCAGAAUAAGCUCCGGCUAACUACGUGCCAGCAGCCGCGGUAAUCCGGAGGGAGCAAGCGUUUUUCGGAAUGACUGGGCGUCAAGGGUGCGUAGGCGGUUGUACAAGUUAGAAGUGAAAUACCCAGGGCUUAACUCGGGUGCUGCUUCUAAAACUGUAUGACUUGAGUGCAGUAGAGGGUAGUGGAAUUCCUAGUGUAGCGGUGGAAUGCGUAGAUAUUAGGAGGAACACCAGAUGCGAAGGCGGCUAACUGGACUGCAACUGACGCUGAGGCACGAAAGUGUGGGGAGCAAACAGGAUUAGAUACCCUGGUAGUC
rnacentral:rRNA from 1 species